CAGACAUCGGUCUCGUUAGUGACCUGCGGAGGACAUUA
rnacentral:rRNA from 1 species